UAAUACGUAGGGGGCAAGCGUUGUCCGGAUUUAUUGGGCGUAAAGAGCGUGUAGGCGGCCUAGUAGGUCAGCUGUGAAAACUCGAGGCUCAACCUCGAGCUGUCGGUUGAAACCACUAGGCUAGAGUCCGGAAGAGGAGAAUGGAAUUCCCGGUGUAGCGGUGAAAUGCGCAGAUAUCGGGAAGAACACCCGUGGCGAAGGCGG
rnacentral:rRNA from 1 species